rnacentral:rRNA from 1 species
UACGGAGGAUCCGAGCGUUAUCCGGAUUUAUUGGGUUUAAAGGGUGCGCAGGCGGGAGAUUAAGUCGCCGGUGAAAUUUUGCAGCUCAACUGUAAAAGUGCCUUCGAAACUGGUUUCCUUGAGUGUAGAUGAAGUAGGCGGAAUUUGUGGUGUAGCGGUGAAAUGCUUAGAUAUCACGAGGAACUCCGAUUGCGCAAGCAGCUUACUAAACUACUACUGACGCUCAGGCACGAAGGCGUGGGGAUCAAACAGGAUUAGAUACCCCGGUAGUCCCUGA